UCACAAUAUGAUAAUUUUUUGUUUGAAACCAUAUACAUUCAAUAUGGAAAAACAACAGACUCAAACUUACUAGAAGGGGACCAGCAACUUGUAUUUCAUCCAUUUGUAAACCAUUUCAUCAAAAUAAGUGUUUGUUUUAUAAAGCUACGACUUACUAUAACAGGAAAUGUCACAGUUGCAUGAAAUGCUGACGUAUGACUGUAUGAUGCAAGUUUGUCUUUUUGUUUCGACAUAUUUUGAGGUUUGCUCUAAAAGCCAUAGAUAAGUUUGGCUAUAAUAGGCCAUGUGCAAACAGUAUCUUUUAAACAUACAUCUAUAUUGCAGGUUAAGUAACUGUGCAGUUAUAAUAUGUCAACCCAUGGAAGCGAAAAAGGAGCACCGAUGUGUGAUUUUUGUGGUUAGUGUGACAAAAGUAAAUGGAUUUAACAUGUUUGUUUUUUUUAAGUUAUUUAAUAAAUAUUCUUCUCUGUUG